AUUGAACGCUGGCGGCAGGCUUAACACAUGCAAGUCGAGCGGGGUGAUGGUGCUUGCACUAUCACUUAGCGGCGGACGGGUGAGUAAUGCUUAGGAAUCUGCCUAUUAGUGGGGGACAACAUCUCGAAAGGGAUGCUAAUACCGCAUACGUCCUACGGGAGAAAGCAGGGGAUCACUUGUGACCUUGCGCUAAUAGAUGAGCCUAAGUCGGAUUAGCUAGUUGGUGGGGUAAAGGCCUACAAAGGCGACGAUCUGUAGCGGGUCUGAGAGGAUUAUCCGCCACACUGGGAAUGAGACACGGCCCAGACUCCUACGGGAGGCAGCAGUGGGGAAUAUUGGACAAUGGGGGGAACCCUGAUCCAGCCAUGCCGCGUGUGUGAAGAAGGCCUUAUGGUUGUAAUGCACUUUAAGCGAGGAGGAGGCUCUUUUGGUUAAUACCCAAGAUGAGUGGACGUUACUCGCAGAAUAAGCACCGGCUAACUCUGUGCCAGCCGCCGCUGUAA
rnacentral:rRNA from 1 species